UACGGAGGGGCUAGCGUUAUUCGGAAUUAUUGGGCGUAAAGGGCGUGUAGGCGGCUUCGUAAGUCUCGUGUGAAAGCCCUCGGCUCAACCGAGGAAUUGCACGAGAAACUGCGUGGCUCGAGUCCGGGAGAGGAUGAGUGGAAUUCCCAGUGUAGCGGUGAAAUGCGUAGAUAUUGGGAGGAACACCGGUGGCGAAGGCG
rnacentral:rRNA from 1 species